AGCUUUGUGUACUGGCAAUAUCAUAACCAAUGAGGUUCAUCCAAGACAUGAUAAUUGCUAAUGGCAAACAGCAUAAAACCAACUGCC
ensembl:snRNA U4 U4 spliceosomal RNA